rnacentral:tRNA from 355 species
GGGCGCGUAGCUCAGCGGGAGAGCACUCCCUUCACACGGGAGGGGUCACAGGUUCAAUCCCUGUCGCGCCCACCA